rfam:Chelonia mydas contig261646, whole genome shotgun sequence.
CCUUCGAUAGCUCAGCUGGUAGAGCGGAGGACUGUAGGGCGCAGGCAGAGUCAUCCUUAGGUCGCUGGUUCGAUUCCGGCUCGAAGGA